AUCUUUUGCCACACGCAUGUAUUUAGACAACGACAUCUACAUAUGGAAUAAUGUGGAAUUACAAAAUGUCAUAAUAUCAUGUCAUAGUAUCAUGUUAUCUUACGUGGGCAACUAUCAAACAUUCAAAAAAUAAAUUAAAACCCUAUGUCUCCUUCUAACCAGAUAAAGAUAAGACAUGGGCUAUAUAUAUAUAUUAUUUUUAUUUUUUUGAACAUAAGACAUGGGCUAUAUUUUUGAAGCCUACUAAACUUGUAUAACCACUGUACUCUAAUUAGUAAAUCCUAAACUCAAAUAUAAACCAUAAAUCUUAAAUCCAAAUAUAAACCAUAAACCAUAAAACCAAGUAUAAUUAUUAAACCC
rnacentral:lncRNA from 1 species